rnacentral:misc_RNA from 1 species
CGUCAGUCCUCAACGAGCCGUUGGCGAGUUCUCGACCAUUUCGCAAAAAUCCACUGCUUUGUGAACAGCCUGCUUAAACAGUGAACGCGUUGAAGCUGAUUUACUUUGACUGUUCAUUUUCGCAAGUAUUUACCGCGACGAGAUGUUAACUUUGAAGACCGUGCUGACACUGGCUUAAAAUCCGGGCCACCUCCUCACGUCCAAGAAGUUGGUGCGAAAGUUUCGCGAUAACAACGCUGGUGACCGCCCCGUUGGGAGGGCGCGUGCAACUGUUGACAGAAGGCCGAACGGAUGUGUGACAACAGUGUUCAUCAGUUUGUACAGCUCUCGGGUGGCCAACACCGCGGUACGAAGACAUAAACACCGAGCGUCUAUGCUUGAAACGACAUUGCUGGACUGGACGAAAUUUGCUGAAAAGUUGAUCUCAAAGGUCUUGUGACAACGUGCAGCGUGAGAAAAACUGAAUUCGUCAAGAUGCAGAUGAUGCUUGCUUGCAAAGUACUGUCUGUUCUGUUGGUGUAUCAGUAUGUGCUUGCUGAGUCAGGCCAAUUGUCCGACUUAAGAGGAAGAUACAGGAGAUGGUUAAAGGCAACACCAAAAAAUGCUGAAUCUAGACCGGACUUCACAUGGGCCAGCAGCAACAUGAAAAAAACUGUGAGUGUGUCAGAACACUCGACUAUAAUACUUCCAUGCGAUGUACACACUUCAAAUAAGGAUGCUGUCAAAGAGAUCAGCUGGUUCAAGGAUGGAAAAAGCAUUCCCAAGUUGCCACAAUUUAAAAUAAAGGACAUGGAACUAAGAAUCGAUUACUUGUCUGAGAGAGACAGUGGUAACUACACCUGUCAUGUUGUUGGACUAAAUACUCAACUUUCCUGGACUUACCAGGUUGUUGUUACCAAAGGAAAACCAUCACAUGUUCCUUUCAUCACAAAUGGUCCCAAAAACACAACAGUGAAGGUUGGGGAGAAAGCCCAUUUCAUAUGUGAAAGCCACAACAAGUCUGGAAGCAUUACAUAUCAGUGGAUACAGCAUCAUCUCAUCAACAAUUCCUACGAAAAUGAGACUGGAACUCCAUAUAUUUCCAUACUUAAGACAGAAAACUCUCCUAAGCAGCCAUCCGAGCUUUUCCUGGAAAAUGUGACAAAGAGUCAUGAAGGCUGGUAUACCUGCUCUGCCAGAAAUUCACUUGGCUACCAUCAUGAAAGUGCUUACCUCCAUGUGUUAGAUCAGGAUGACAUAUUGAAGUCUGGCGUACCUCGUGAAGGCAGUGCUCACCAAAACAGAUUUGGCAACAGCCCUUUCCUUUUGAUUAUAGGUCUUAUUGCAGGUGCUUUGGUUCUGAUCAUUGUUGUGACUGUGGCAGUGGUCAUCUUCAGGUACAAACACAAGCAGCAGGCCAUCAAGUAUCAAGUCUCCCACACAAAGGAGCCUGUUGUUUCUCGGCCAUUGAUGCCAAAGCCUCGCCGCGGCUGUACAGCUUAUCCUCCACCACCUCCUCCUGUUUAUGUGCCCUUUGACGCAGAAUGGGAGUUCCCUCGGAAUAGGCUUACUUUCCUGGGUACAGUUGGAGAAGGUGCAUUUGGUGUAGUGAAGCAGGCUACAGCUUACGGCAUUGGUAAAGUACCAAAAGCCAGCACUGUAGCAGUGAAAAUGCUCAAAGACAGUGCAUCCCGAACUGAGCAGAUGGACUUUAUCCAAGAGCUUGAGGUGAUGAAACAGGUCAAAAAGAUGGGCAGCCAUAUCAACAUUGUAAAUUUCUUGGGCUGCAGUACACGCAAUGGCCCAUUGUUGCUGAUCGUGGAAUAUGCUAAAAAUGGCAACUUGCGAGACUUUCUAGAAACCUGCAGGGAUGGCAUCAAUGGCUAUGGCAGAUAUGUUUCUCCUGAUGAUCCUGCUUGGUUCACAAAGACGCCUGGGGGUCAAGUGAUCAGUCGCAAGAAUCUCAUAUCGUUUGCCUUCCAGGUGUCUCGUGGCAUGGAAUUUUUGUCAUCAAAAAAAGUGUAUCCAUCGGGAUCUGGCGGCUCGCAAUAUUUUGGUUACCGAGGACUUUAUUUUGAAAAUUGCUGACUUUGGACUUACCAGAAAUGGUGAAUACUACAAGAAAAGAUCAAGUGGCCGAUUGCCUGUAAAAUGGAUGGCUCCAGAAGCAUUGUUUGAUAUGCGAUUCACCAUGAAGAGUGAUGUGUGGUCCUUUGGAGUGUUGCUUUGGGAGAUCUUCUCCUUGGGUGGUAUGCCAUACCCAACUAUCCCACAUG